UACGGAGGGUGCAAGCGUUGUCCGGAUUUACUGGGCGUAAAGGGCUCGUAGGCGGCCAACUAAGUCAGACGUGAAAUCCCUCGGCUUAACCGGGGAACUGCGUCUGAUACUGGAUGGCUUGAGUUUGGGAGAGGGAUGCGGAAUUCCAGGUGUAGCGGUGAAAUGCGUAGAUAUCUGGAGGAACACCGGUGGCGAAGGCGGGUCUCUGGGCCGUAACUGACGCUGAGGAGCGAAAGCAUGGGGAGCAAACGGG
rnacentral:rRNA from 1 species